UAAUAAGUGCUUUAUGGCACUUUUUAAAUCCAUAUCCACCUUGUGUGCAAUGUCAGUCGAUCUUCUUCAUGGAGAUCGACCAAACAUCAACCUUUAUUUUUUAACUCUUUGUCUGAAAAAUAUUAUGAAUAAACAAUUCAAAAUA
rnacentral:misc_RNA from 1 species